AUGAUUUCAGCAAAAGGGCUAGUAUUUGCGUUGGCGCUGGUCUCAUUUCAGGUCGAGGGCCUACCCAAAAAAGCGGACGGAUCCGAGAAAAAAAACCUCCCAGGUGGAUUCUCUCCCAGGGAUGUAAAAGACGAGAAGAUCCAAUCGCUCGCCAAUUUCUCCUUCUCCGCUGUGAAAACUUCCCUAGGAAGUAAUGACGAACUCAUACUGGUUAAAGUUACCGAGGCUUACUCUCAGGUCGUUGCCGGCAGUCUGUAUCACAUCACGAUGGAGGUAUCAACUUCUAAGGGCAUUUCAAAAUCUUGCACCGUGAAAGUUCUCGAACAGCUCUGGAUCUCUCCCGAUCCUAAAGUGACCGAAGUCAUAUGCGAAGAUAAACCAUCGAGCUAAGGGAUAGGUGUAAGUUAAACUAAAAAAAGAAAAGAAAAAGAAGAAAAAAGAAUCAACAGUUUAAACUUUUGAUAAAACCGCUUUGAAGUAUUAAAACUCAUGAGAUUAUUUUGGUUGUACAGUGAAUUGGACUUAAUUUUGCAAGGAAGAACUGUAAUAUGUGACUCACCCGUGAAAGCACCUAUCUGCAUUAGAAAACAAAUGGCACUUAAGUCGUUUCUCGAAUGAGCAGAAAUAGUAGUUCCUAUCAAGAUGGAGGUCUCAACUUCCAAGGGCAUUACGAAAUCGUGCUCCUUGAAAGUUCUUGAACAGCUCUGGAUCUCUCCUGAUCCUAAAGUGACCGAAGUCAUAUGAAGAUAAACCAUCGACCUAAGGGAUAGGUGUGUGUUAAACUUUUAAAAAAAAAUUAACAUUUCAAACAUUUGAUAAAACCGCUUUGAAGUAUUAAAACCUAUGAGAUUAUUUUGGUUUUACUGUUAAUUGGACUUAAUUUUUCAAGAGGGAACUGCAAUGCGUGACUCCUCAGUAAAAUCACCUAUAUUAGGAAACUAAUGGCACUUAUGUCGUUUCUCAAAUGAGCUAGGAACAGUAAUUCCUUAUUGCAGAAUGCAGUCCAGUUGCGCUAACAGAGAAAUACUCACCGUAUUUCUAUACAAUUUUCAUAUUAUAAAGUCAUGUGUGGCGUGUAUUUUUACUUCGUUGUAGCGUCCCUUCAAGUAUGAAAUCAGUAAGUACAAAUUUGCUAUUUUCCUAUCGAAUUAUGAAUUGCUGUCAAAGGGUCAAUUUUUUCAAUUUUUUGGAUGUUUUAAUGUGAUAAACGAUGCAAAAUUAACCCUUCUAAGCUAUGGUAUUGUUAUUUCGUUCCUUUUCUCCACUUUCUAAGACACAUUUUGCAUACCUCCGGAACUUGUAAAUUAAAAAAAAAAAAUACCUGAAAGGAAAUAUCAACUUUUUAAAAUUUCGAGAAUCUUGUGUCAAAUAACCUUUCAACGGGUAAGAGAUAGAUAAACUGUAUUCAUCAGAACCCUAUACCCUAUAUCCUAUCCCUAUCAAGGAAUUUUAAAACAAACAGUGAAAGCACAGCGACGGUAAAACUACCAGACCACGAAUCUCGGUUUGCGACGUUGUAGACUUCCUGUCAUACUUUAUUUUUUACAUGGAAAACCACUCAACGUUAGUUUUCGAAAACUUCCAUAAUGUAUCUUCUCCUUGCGAAGAAAACUCUGUGAAAACUUCAAGAAAUGAAAUCGAUUUGUUCUCCGUCAAAAAUAAUAAAAUGGGAGCAGAGAUUUUUAAAAACCGCAAACGAAAUACGUGGUGUGAUAGUUUCACCGUCGAUAUGUAAAUGAUAAAUCAAUUUUUUAAAAAAACGCACCACUUUCAAUAAAAAAUUUUUAGCUCUAACUAAAUAACGUACACGACGUACAGUGCAAGUGAUAAGUUUUUUUGAAAAAUUGACAAAUGUAAUUGAUAAAAUAAUUGAUGUAAUUGAUAAAUUGAUGAUAAUUGAUAAAUCAAUUUUUUUUAAAAAAAACGCAGCACUUUCAAUAGAAACUGUUUAGCUCUAACUGAAUAAUGUACAGUGCAAGGGGUAAGGUAUUUUUUAAAAAAAUCGAUUCAUCAAAAAUUUUAUAAAGAACACGUCGAACUGUUGUAUCGCGGUCGAUCAGAAUCUGGGACCAAAGAUAAAAGGCGAUACAUGAUGAGAGAGUGUUCAAGAGACUGCUCCUAUCCGCAGAAAAAAAGUUGAUAAGUCCAAAGUCGUGCGUUAAAAAAAGUGGUGUUUCGUGACCAGUUUUAUCGCUCGAUUUUAUUUUUAGGUGUAAACAGCAUCGAUUUUUAUGCCCGAGACCGUAAAGUCAAGGCUACCUCGAAUCGCGAAGCACCAUUUGACAUUUUCUUAAUUUCCUUCAAGCACCACCAAAACUUGACCAAUGCCACUUAAUUCGUCGUUUCCCGCAAGAAGGAACGUAACUGCAUUUUAAUGUUGCCAAAUUUCCUUGCGCAGAUUGCAUUUUUACCAGGAGAAUUUUGGGCAUUUCUGACUGAAAAAGUCACUGAUUUUUCUUCUGAUUUUAAGCGAAAAUCAGACCAAUUUUCGUCAAAAAUUGUACAGGUCUAUUUUUGUUAAAUAUUGAAUUGUUUGAGUCAAUUUUGCGACCUUAGAAUGGAGUUACGUUCUUUCGUUCGGGAGACGAUGAAUUAUGUGAUCACUUUUCCCCGACUACUUCUCAGUUGCGUGAAUCUUGCAGAUGCUUCACUCCAGGAAAAGAAAUGCAACUAAACUGAUGCGUGGGACUUAUUAACAUUGCACAUCGACCGACCUUGUCAUUACAUAUCGACGGUGAGACUGCAAAAGACUCGCCUUCGUGACGCUGUUAACUUUUCAUAUCCAAAUUUAUUUUCUGAAUGGAAAAAUACUCAACGCCAUUGUUUAUAAUUGUUAACUAAGACUAAAAAUAAUGGAUUCACACCAAGGUCAUUAUUGAAAACUGAGGGGUGCGCGCCCUUGCCCCUUUACGGCUCAACCCUGAGGGGGGGCGCCUCGCCUCCAAUGAGGC
rnacentral:lncRNA from 1 species